UACGAAGGGGGCUAGGCGUUGCUCGGAAUCACUGGGCGUAAAGGGUGCGUAGGCGGGUUUUAAGUCAGGGGUGAAAUCCUGGAGCUCAACUCCAGAACUGCCUUUGAUACUGAAGAUCUUGAGUCCGGGAGAGGUGAGUGGAACUGCGAGUGUAGAGGUGAAAUUCGUAGAUAUUCGGAAGAACACCAGUGGCGAAGGCGGCUUUCUGGCCUGUUCUUGACGCUGAGGCGCGAAAGCUAGGGGAGCAAACGGG
rnacentral:rRNA from 1 species